CACGGGGGGAGCAAGCGUUGUUCGGAAUCACUGGGCGUAAAGGGCGUGUAGGCGGUUCGGCAAGUGAGAUGUGAAAUCCCUCGGCUCACCCGAGGACCUGCAUCUCAAACUGCCGGACUAGAGUUUGGGAGAGGGAUGCGGAAUUCCAGGUGUAGCGGUGAAAUGCGUAGAUAUCGGGGGGAACACCCGUGGCGAAGGCGGCUCUCUGGACCACUACUGACGCUGAGGCGCGAAAGCCGGGGGAGCAAACAGG
rnacentral:rRNA from 1 species